rnacentral:lncRNA from 1 species
CCACUACGCUUUAUAUAUGGUGUGGAAUUUUGAUCAUACUUCACUCAUAGUUACAAGAUCCCAAUGAAUAUAAAUGGAGGGUUGCUGAUCUUUCGAAACAGUCUAAACGGAGGGAGUAUACACGCAUGCCGAAAAUGGAAAUGGAAAACUUAUCUAAUAAUACUACACUUCAGCAUUUAUUCUUAUAUUUGACUUGCACUGCUUGAAGAAUUCUAGAUUCCCGCGCGCAAGUUGCAAGUUGUGAGUUGCCUGUAGCCCAGUAGCGUGGAGCAAAGAGACUGGAGUCAAAUACUAGCACUUCUCUCUUUCAGCUUUUCUUGUAAGAUCUAGACAAAAAUAUCUCUAUCAAAAGGUCGGAAUGACCGACAAGUAAGUCUUACGAGAGCCCACAUUUUCCACUUGACCAUAUCGUCCAAGGCACGUUAAGGUCGAAGAUUGGCGACUUCCGUUUCUUGGCUCAGGCACCGAAAGAUACAUAUAAGAAUAUAAACAAGCUGCUAACCGGUGCGUGAGAUACUGAGAUCCAUAUAAUUGUGAUAAUUUUGCAGGGGUGUUGCAAGGAAUACGGUAUUUUUUUUAACCAAGUUCUCAUGAAAUUCAUCUAAGUCUUCGGGAGGAGUGAUUUUUCUCUUAUUUAUUUUUUUGCGAGUGCGAGAAGUGAUUUUUCACAAAACAGAAGUGAUAAAUUCUACUCUUUCCGUUUCAUAAUUCUUGUCGAAAUAUUUCAUGUGUACACAUUUUUUUAGGAAUAGAUACAUCCAUUUUUUAUCAAAUUUGAGAUUGUCUUAAAAAUAAAUUCUUAAGUGGCAACACUCUAAUAUCCGCAUUCUUGUUAAUUUUAUACAGACCACAAAUCACUGGAUUUUCUCAUGAAAUUUUGGAGAUGCAUAGUCCAUUCUAAUAUCCAUGUACAUGCACGAUAACAUUUCUUGGAAUUUUUCAUUCACUUUUUGAAAAAAAAAAUCAAAACGAAAGGAACUCAUGUGUGCUAUAUUAUUCGUCCUCAUUCUAUAACCCAACUUGUUCAAAAUGAGCAAUAAUAAUCCUACCUUCCAGACAUGUGUCAGUACACUUGAGAUCAGACUCAAUCCCAAAAUAUAGUACAGAACAGAAUACAGAUUCGAAGGGAAGGAAAAGCCAAAAAGAAAGAAAGAACCAGUGAAGUAGUACAAAGAAUGAUUGGUUUUCCGGUUUGGAC